rnacentral:rRNA from 1 species
GAACCUGCGGAAGCAUCAUUA